rnacentral:lncRNA from 1 species
AAGUUCCGAAUCUGGCUGUCAGGCACGAGAGAAGAUGAAGGGGAAAGGAGCGAACUCCAGAGUCUUAGAGAGGCAGUACGACGGGUUCUCGCACCAACCAGCACUUCCUGUGUGGAGUCUCACCUCUUGUAACCCUGAGUGCAAAAAUACCAGGAACAAGCUGACUUCCCACCUGGCAGAACAGAAUGCUAAACAGGCCGGCGAGUGCUCUGGUUUCCAAAAGGUCAUUCUGCACUUUGUUAACCAAAUUCAUUUUCAAAUCUUAGAACAAUUCUUUCUAAAAGAGGUCACUGAGUAGGCCUGGGGAAGGUGUUUAAAGUAGGACAUUCUGUCACGCUUCUGGGAUGGCUAAGGUGUGAUGCAGACAGAGGGUGCAGGAUGACCCUUCCUGCCCUGUCCAAACCUUCCCCAGCCCAUGUGAGGGCCCCCAGGGCUGGUCCUCUAGGAAAUCACCCCUCGGCUCCCCCACAAGCUCCCUCCUGGCACUGGGUAUUUCCUGGCUGGCCUCUGAUCCCCGGCAUACACCGUCUAAACAUCAGUACCAUUGUCUGUUUUGCAUAUUGGUUACCUGGGAACUCACCUUUCUCUUCAUCAGAAGUACUU